UAUUUCCUCGGAAUUGGACCCUAACUUUCACGGCCAUCAUAGCCGCGGCUUCUUGUUCUGCUCGCAACUGGUGAGGCGCCAGCGGCCGCGCCAGUCACCACCUCACCAUUGUCACCAUGAUCAUUACCCAUUGGAGAUAUGAACAGACUUGUAAUCAUUGCUAAAUAACUAGCUACGCACUUUGCAAGUUUUCCGGUAGGGCAACUUGAUUCCCGUCUCAUCCCAUCCCCAAAACACCCUCCAUGGCCCCCGCCACUAUCCAUUCGACGCAGGCACGCGGGUCAUGCCUGAAAUUUCAUUUCUUUUUUAUUCAAAUCCAACCCGCCUUCAAAUGUCAGCCUUGUACUUCCAAAGACAUUCGGUAGUAUGCGACCUAACUGUUGACAUGUUCAUUUCAAGUGCCUCGGUCAUCAUCACCCUGCUACAUGCCGGCCAAUGCCCAUCAGAGCCCGGAAGAACACUGCGCAGAAUGGGAAGCCGUUCGACAUACAUAGGUGUACUGUAGUGGCCAGCCAAUUGUCUUUCAUGGUGUUCUAGACGUUUGCCUAUACAAGUACCUAGACAGCGACCGAGGUCUUGCUUUUUCUUCCCCAACUCCUCUCUCUUCAAACGCCCAGCCCAUAGUUCGCAGCAGAACUCAACAUCUUACCCACCUCCCCCUCCUUCUUCAACCCCAUCCAACCUCAAUGCAACAUGGAGAUAUUCAGAACUUGAUGAGGGGGGCCAUGCUUGGGAUAGUCACCUUCCUGUUAAGUCUAGGCGUAGACUUCGUUAGCCAUGAGGUUUAGUCGAAAUGAGGGGGUAGUUGGAUACAUGUCGAGCGGGAUGUGGGGAGUGGUAGCGGCGAGGAGGUAUACCUCUCAGUACUUAUGUACGUACUACUUGGACACACGAUUUAUGGCAACGAGUUGACAAGGAAACAUCUUUGAUUAGCAUCACCCCCUGCUUCAAAAAGAUGCUUUGAG